CUUUUAUCCAUAUCAGCUCAACAUGUUCACAUUAAUAUCCAUACUUUUCUAUUUUAGUUAUAGGCAUUUGAAACAAUCUCUUUUGAAAUACAAACUUUGUGGUUUAGGAAUCCUAUAUUCCUAUUUUACUCAGUAUAUUUCCAUCACCUUGCUGUCCUAGGCAAUAAAAGAAGAUGCCAAAAAGAAUCCUCAACAUUAAUUGUUUUCAGAGCCAGGCAUGGGGACUCAGCUUGAUAUUAACACUGCAUGAAUGUUUGGUUAGCGCUGUCAUAUCUACAUAUAAUUGAUGACGUGUCCCCUCUCCUUUGUAAGACCUCCUGAAUAACAUCCUUCCUUGAAGUCAGCCUACCACUGAAGAUCGUGUUGUGACAGAAGCAGUACAAAGAAAGAAUGUACAGACAUUGAGAGCAGGUACAUUUUCAAUACAAAUGGAAUGCUGGAAAUAAGUAUAUUAAAUGAUUGGAAGUACUCACAUUUUUCUUACCUCUAAUUCUUUUCAUUCUAAAUUGAAUGGAAGGCAUUGACAUAAAUGUUAUUGUUGGUAUCCAUGUUUCAAUAAAAUUAAAUUUACAAGUAUAAGAAAACAAGAUUUUAAAAAUAUGAGUUUUAACUCAGAUGCUUCUAUUUUAAUAUUUUGAAUAGCAUAACGUUUCCAAUAAGGAAUUUUUAUACUUCUCGGAUUCACAGCAGUGAAUUUUGAGGUUCUAAGAUAUUUCCAGUAUCUUAUGUGCUAGUUGGAGUUCUGAUACUUACCUAAAGGAAUGCUUUAUUUAGAUAUUAGUUUCUGUAUUAAUGUUAGAGGCUUCCUGUUAAUGUUAUUACACCAAAGCUGUGAAACCAAUGAGAUGGUCUAAUGAGCAGACUGUGUGCAUGUGUGUGUAUGGCUAAGUAUAUGGGUGUGUUUGUGGCAUCUUUGAUUAUUAAAAACUAGGAAAGUAAUUCAUUCAUAACUGACAGUCUUAAAAUGGUGGUUUUGAGACUUUUUGGUAUAAACGUUU